GAUGAACGCUGGCGGCGUGCUUAACACAUGCAAGUCGAACGGUGAACGAGGGAGCUUGCUCCCUCCGGAUCAGUGGCGAACGGGUGAGUAACACGUGAGUAACCUGCCCUUGACUCUGGGAUAAGCGUUGGAAACGACGUCUAAUACCGGAUACGACGCGCGAAGGCAUCUUCUGCGCGUGGAAAGAAUUUCGGUCAAGGAUGGACUCGCUGCCUAUCAGCUAGUUGGUGAGGUAACGGCUCACCAAGGCGACGACGGGUAGCCGGCCUGGAAGGGUGCCCGGCCACACUGGGACUGAGACACGGCCCAGACUCCUACGGGAGGCAGCAGUGGGGAAUAUUGCACAAUGGGCGCAAGCCUGAUGCAGCAACGCCGCGUGAGGGACGACGGCCUUCGGGUUGUAAACCUCUUUUAGUAGGGAAGAAGCGAAAGUGACGGUACCUGCAGAAAAAGCACCGGCUAACCACGUGCCAGCCGCCGCCGUAAAAC
rnacentral:rRNA from 1 species